rnacentral:rRNA from 1 species
AUACGUAGGUGGCAAGCGUUGUCCGGAAUUACUGGGCGUAAAGCGCGUGCAGGCGGUUUGACAAGUCUGAUGUGAAAGCCCCGGGCUUAACCUGGGAAGUGCAUUGGAAACUGUUGGACUUGAGUACUGGAGAGGAAGGGGGAAUUCCCGGUGUAGAGGUGAAAUUCGUAGAGAUCGGGAGGAAUACCAGUGGCGAAGGCGCCCUUCUGGACGGCUACUGACGCUGAGACGCGAAAGCGUGGGGAGCAAACAGGAUUAGAUACCCUGGUAGUCCACGCUGUAAACGAUGAGCACUAGGUGUAGCGGGUACUCAUUCCUGCUGUGCCGUAGCUAACGCGUUAAGUGCUCCGCCUGGGGAUUACGGUCGCAAGACUAAA